CAGCUCGUAGCACAGCACCCCCAGGCACCACAGGUCGACCUUCUCGUCGUGGCUGUUGCCCUCCACCAUCUCCGGGGGCAGGUAAUCCAGGGUGCCACAGAGAGUCCGGCGCCUGAGGGGUUAAAACACACCUGGGCACACCUGGGCACACCUGGGCACUCAGAGAACCCCACACCUGACUCAGGUAAUCCCAGGGUGCCGCACAGGGUCCGGCGCCUGAGGGGUUAAAACACACCUGGGCACACCUGGGCACACCUGGGCACUCAGAGCCCCACACCUGGCACAGGUAAUCCCAGGUGAUGCACAGGGUCCUGCGCCUGAGGGGUUAAAACACACCUGGGCACACCUGGGCACACCUGGGCACUCAGAGAACCCAUGGAACCUCACACCUGGCUCAGGUAAUCCCAGGUGAUGCACAGGGUCCGGCGCCUGAGGGGUUAAAACACACCUGGGCACACCUGGGCACACCUGGGUGCUCACAGGACCCCACACCUGGCUCAGGUAAUCCCAGGUGAUGCACAGGCUCUGGCACGUGAAGGGUUAAAAAUGUACCUGGGCAAUCACAGAUUCCCCCAGGUGUCCCCAGGUGUGUCCAGGUGUGUCCCCAGGUGUGUCCCACCUGUCCCACGUGUGUCCCCAGGUGUCCCCAGGUGUGUCCAGAUGUGCCCAGGUGUGUUCCCAGGUGUUCCCAGCUGUCCCCAGGUGUGUCCCACCUAUCCCAGGUGUCCCCAGCUGUCCCCAGGUGUCCCAGGUCUCACCUGAGGGAGGGGGCGUGCACGGACCACCCGAAAUCCGCGAUCUUGAGCCAUUUCCCAGGCCCAUAACCCCCCCAGGUGUCCCCAGGUGUGUCCCAGGUGUCCCCAGCUGUCCCCAGGUGUGCUCAGGUGUGUCCCUGAUGUUCCCAGGUGUUCCCAGAUGUGUCCCACCUAUCCCAGGUGUGUCCAGGCGUGCCCAGGUGUAUCCAGGUGUGUCCCCAGGUGUCCUCAGGUGUCCCCAGGUGUGUCCCAGGUGUAUCCAGGUGUGUCCCCAGCUGUCCCCAGGUGUCCCCAGGUGUCUCCAGGUGUCCCCAGGUGUCCCCAGGUGUAUCCAGGUGUCCCCAGGUGUGUCCCCAGGUGUCCCCAGGUGUCCCCAGAUGUGUCCCCAGGUGUCUCCAG
rnacentral:lncRNA from 1 species